ensembl:lncRNA novel transcript
AGAGUUCUCGGCGUUUCCGAAGCUCUUGGUGUGGCCGGGACCCGGGAGAAGGAGCAGGGCUGGUGGGGCUGCUGCAGCCGGAAAUAAUCAUGGUGCUCAACAGUUUGGAUAAGAUGAUUCAACUCCAGAAAAACACUGCCAACAUCAGGAAUAUUUGUGUUUUGGCUCAUGUUGACCGUGGAAAAACUACUCUGGCUGACUGUCUUAUAUCUAGCAAUGGAAUCAUCUCCAGCCACCUAGCAGGCAAGUUAAGGUACAUGGACAGCAGAGAAGAUGAACAGAUCCGAGGGAUCACUAUGAAAUCCAGUGCCAUUUCCCUACAUUAUGCAACAGGUAAUGAGGAGUACCUGAUUAAUCUGAUAGACUCUCCAGGACACAUGGACUUUUCCUCAGACGUAUCAACCGCUGUUCGCAUUUGUGAUGGAUGCAUCAUUGUGGUAGAUGCUGUGGAAGGAGUCUGUCCACAGAUUAAUGCGCUCACAGGGACUCUUUUUACUUCUAAAGUCCUAGAAGAAAGAGCAGAGAGGGAGACUGAAUCCCAAGCGAAUCCAAAUUCUGAACAAGGAGAGCAAGUAUAUGACUGGAGCACUGGCUUGGAGGACACAGAUGAUUCUCACCUUUACUCCUCUCCAGAACAGGGAAAUGUGGUGUUUACCAGUGCAAUAGAUGGGUGGGGCUUUGGGCCUCUCACUCAAGAAGAAAUUGCUCAGAGACGUGAGCGUGCAAGACAAAGGCAUGCAGAGAAGCUUGCAGCAGCGCAGGGACAGGCACCCUUGGAGCCCACCCAAGAUGGGAGUGCCAUUGAAACAUGUCCAAAAGGAGAGGAGCCAAGAGGUGACGAGCAACAGGUGGAAAGUAUGACCCCCAAACCUGUGCUCCAGGAAGAAAACAACCAAGAGUCUUCUAUUGCAUUUGCUCGGGUGUUCAGUGGUGUGGCUCGAAGAGGAAAGAAAAUUUUUGUCUUGGGGCCCAAAUACAGUCCUCUUGAGUUUUUACGAAGGGUACCAUUAGGCUUCUCAGCUCCACCAGAUGGCCUCCCCCAAGUCCCCCACAUGGCAUACUGUGCUCUGGAAAACCUGUAUCUUCUGAUGGGAAGGGAACUGGAAUAUCUAGAGGAGGUACCUCCAGGAAAUGUGCUAGACACCAGGCUUCCCUUCCCCUGGAGCAGCCAGACCUUCUGUGGUAUCUUGAGCAAGCGCCUGGUCCUGUCUGGGCCUCUGCAGACUCAAGGUCUGGUGCCUGACUUACACCCUGUUGUCAUAUCCUGCCAUCUGGCCCCAUAUGGAGUCCUACAGGGGACUCUCAGACCCAGGCGUGAGCACUGGCUCAGGCCCCUCUCAGAGGUCUGGCGGCCCAGCAUCUGCCCACGGGCCUCCUCUCCCCCUCCUUUUCUCCAGGCUCCUGCCUCUGCCACAGUUCCCUGGAGGUGGCCUCUAGCCUGGCCCAGGGGCUCACACACUCCUGAAGGAGGCAGGGCCAGACUCAGGCAAGGCCUUGGAGGACACAUCCCAGUGGGCAGGGCCCAGCACUCUUGGGGUGGAACUACAGGGAGGAGAGGCAGGGCAAUUGAGGCUUGAGGUGCCUGGCCUCACCCAAGGUGACCAGCCUGCUCCUUUUCCUCAGCCUCAGAGGGAGCAGAGGACGGAGGUGGGGAAGAGAGGCCAGGGACACAGUAGGGCUUGGUUAUGGAUGAUGGGGGGUCCUUGUGUGAUAUAAUUAGGCUUUGUGUCUCCACCCAAAUCUCAUCUUGAAUUAUCCCCAUUUUCCCCACCUGUCAAGGGAGAGACCAGGUGGACGUAAUUGGUGGAUCAUGGGAAGGGUUUCCCCCAUGCUGUUCUCAUGACAGUGAGUGAGUUCUCAUGAGAUCUGAUGGUUUUAUAAGGGGCUUUUCCUACUUGUUCAGCACUUCUCCUUCCUGCCACCUCGUGAAGUUUCCUUGCUUCCCCUUCACCUUCCGCUGUGAUUGUAAGUUUCCUGACACCUCCCCAGACAUGCUGAACUGUGAGUCAAUUAAACCUUUUUCUUUUACAAGC